ACAACGUCUCGAAAGGGACGCUAAUACCGCAUACGUCCUACGGGAGAAAGUGGGGGCUCUUCGGACCUCACGCUAUCAGAUGAGCCUAGGUCGGAUUAGCUAGUUGGUGAGGUAAUGGCUCACCAAGGCGACGAUCCGUAACUGGUCUGAGAGGAUGAUCAGUCACACUGGAACUGAGACACGGUCCAGACUCUAUACGGGAGGCAGCAGUGGGGAAUAUUGGACAAUGGGCGAAAGCCUGAUCCAGCCAUGCCGCGUGUGUGAAGAAGGUCUUCGGAUUGUAAAGCACUUUAAGUUGGGAGGAAGGGUUGUACGUUAAUACCGUGCAAUUUUGACGUUACCGACAGAAUAAGCACCGGCUAACUCUGUGCCAGCAGCCGCGGUAAUACAGAGGGUGCAAGCGUUAAUCGGAAUUACUGGGCGUAAAGCGCGCGUAGGUGGUUUGUUAAGUUGGAUGUGAAAUCCCCGGGCUCAACCUGGGAACUGCAUCCAAAACUGGCAAGCUAGAGUAGGGCAGAGGGUGGUGGAAUU
rnacentral:rRNA from 6 species